rnacentral:rRNA from 1 species
UGGGGGAUAUUGCACAAUGGAGGAAACUCUGAUGCAGCAACGCCGCGUGAAGGAUGAAGGUCUUCGGAUUGUAAACUUUUGUACUCGGGGACGAUAAUGACGGUACCCAAGCAGCAAGCUCCGGCUAACUACGUGCCAGCAGCCGCGGUAAUACGUAGGGAGCAAGCGUUGUCCGGAUUUACUGGGUGUAAAGGGUGCGUAGGCGGCUAUGCAAGUCAGUUGUGAAAACUAUGGGCUCAACCCAUAGCCUGCAAUUGAAACUGCGUGGCUUGAGUGAAGUAGAGGUAGGUGGAAUUCCCGGUGUAGCGGUGAAAUGCGUAGAGAUCGGGAGGAACACCAGUGGCGAAGGCGACCUACUGGGCUUUAACUGACGCUGAGGCACGAAAGCAUGGGUAGCAAACAGGAUUAGAUACCCUGGUAGUCCAUGCCGUAAACGAUGAUUACUAGGUGUGGGGGUCUG